UGGGGAAUAUUGGACAAUGGGCGAAAGCCUGAUCCAGCCAUGCCGCGUGUGUGAAGAAGGUCUUCGGAUUGUAAAGCACUUUAAGUUGGUAGGAAGGGCAGUAAGCGAAUACCUUGCUGUUUUGACGUUACCGACAGAAUAAGCACCGGCUACCUCUCUGCCAGCAGCCGCGGUAAUACAGAGGGUGCAAACGUUAAUCGGAAUUACUGGGCGUAAAGCGCGCGUAGGUGGUUCGUUAAGUUGAAUGUGAAAGCCCCGGGCUCAACCUGGGAACUGCAUCCAAAACUGGCGCGAUAGAGUAGGGCAGAGGGUGGUGGAAUUUCCUGUGUAGCGGUGAAAUGCGUAGAUAUAGGAAGGAACACCAGUGGCGAAGGCGACCACCUGGGCUCAUACUGACACUGAGGUGUGAAAGCGUGGGGAGCAAACAGG
rnacentral:rRNA from 1 species